UUCCGAUGUCCGCUGCCGCGUGUGUGGAAGUUAUGGCCGCUUCUGUCUGUCAUGCACUCACUGAAAAGGCUAGGGCUUCGGGUGUUGGCACGCCUUUGGCACCUCUUGCGACUCUGGGAAGCAAGGUUGCAGACUCCGUCUCAGAAUGGCAGGAUCCCUAAGCGUAAACGGACCGGUGUGGCCACCGAUGAGAAGGUGGAGGUAGAUGAUUGGCAUCUGCUUCAGGUGUGCUUCUGAAGUUCAGCUGUGAGAACGCGUGUCGAGCCAUGAGUUUCGGUAAGGUUGGAGUUGAUUCCUGGAGACAUUGUCGGGUGUGGCACAUAAGGACCUUCUUGACGCUAUACAUGCUAACAGCUUAUUCAUACAAUCGCAGGGGUUGUUGAAUGGAAGGAUUGGUCUGCUAGAUUAAGAGGUGCAGGCUGAGUCACGGGAGAAGGAUGCAGGAUGCUGUAGCCGUCACACAGGUUAUUGCCCUGGAGUGUCCUGCUGCUGCCGGCCUUCAGUCCCCCAGAGAGAGUGUCAUCAAAGGACCUUGGAGUUUGAUCUGCAAGAGCAGCCAGCAGAGUCAAGUGACUGCAGUCACCCUGGAAGCCUCUGGCAGCGAGCGAAUAUUGGAGGCACUGGGGAGGAGGUCCGCAUUUCUCACAGUGGAU